rnacentral:rRNA from 1 species
AGCAAUACCUAGUGGCGGACGGGUGAGUAACGCGUGGGAAUCUGCCCAAGGGUGGGGGAUAGCAGACCGAAAGGUCUAUUAAUACCGCAUAUGCCGUGAGGUAAAAGGAGUAAUCCGCCCCUGGAUGAGCCUGCGUCCGAUUAGCUAGUUGGUAGGGUAAAAGCCUACCAAGGCUACGAUCGGUAGCUGGUCUGAGAGGAUGAUCAGCCACAAUGGGACUGAGACACGGUCCAUACUCC